rnacentral:rRNA from 1 species
UACGUAGGUGGCGAGCGUUGUCCGGAUUUACUGGGCGUAAAGGGAGCGUAGGCGGAUUUUUAAGUGAGAUGUGAAAUACUCGGGCUCAACUUGAGUGCUGCAUUUCAAACUGGAAGUCUAGAGUGCAGGAGAGGAGAAUGGAAUUCCUAGUGUAGCGGUGAAAUGCGUAGAGAUUGGGAAGAACACCAGUGGCGAAGGCGAUUCUCUGGACUGUAACUGACGCUGAGGCUCGAAAGCGUGGGGAGCAAACAGG